GUGCUCGCUUUGGCAGCACACAUACUAAAAUUGGAACAAUAUGGAGACCAUUAAUUAGCAUAGCCCCUGUGCAAGGAUAACAUGCAAAUUCAUGAAUCAUUCCCUAUUUUU